rnacentral:lncRNA from 1 species
ACGGCCCUCCUCCUGGCAGCCCAGCAACAAGCGGCCACCGCCCCCACCCCGGGGCGGGCAGAAGCGCAGCAACCCCGCGGUGCUCCCGGAAGACACCGCGUCUCCAACAUUUACACGGAGAUGCUGCUCGGCUCAGGUCGGGUCCGUACGCUUCCCGAGGUGCGUACUACGCGAGCCACACACAUCACUACCGAUAUUCCUGAGAAAGUCGGUGCCACAGUUCCGACCUGAAUCUGAAAGUGCUUCUAAACCCCAUGCUUCACAGAACGUUCGGAGGGGGAGGCGCUCCGUGGGGGCUGCUGCGUGCCCAUGUAGCCGAACUGACUCGAAUAAAAGCGUGUCCACGUCUACAUCACACAUCUGUGUAAAUGCAGAAGCCUGCGGAUGCGCGGGGCUGGCCAGACUUCACAGUGUGCAGACACAUGGGCUCAUGCACGCGCACGCGCGCGCUCACACACACACCCCAAAUUACCUCCGGGAUGGAGAAAGCCGCUGCGGAUUGGCCAGCAGAGCCGUCACUCACGCCCAGGGGGCAGGGAGACUUCGCAAAGCUGUUUCCUUUUUUUUUUUUCCUCCUCUCCUCCCUACCGUUUCAUUUAAUGGUAAAACAACAGCAGAGCUCUGAAAGUUA